rnacentral:rRNA from 1 species
GGGUUGUGAGGUUAAGCGACUAAGCGUACACGGUGGAUGCCCUGGCAGUCAGAGGCGAUGAAGGACGUGCUAAUCUGCGAAAAGCGCCGGCGAGGUGAUAUGAACCUUUGACCCGGCGAUGUCCGAAUGGGGAAACCCAGUGUGUUCCGACACACUAUCGUUAACUGAAUACAUAGGUUAACGAGGCGAACCGGGGGAACUGAAACAUCUAAGUACCCCGAGGAAAAGAAAUCAACCGAGAUUCCCCCAGUAGCGGCGAGCGAACGGGGAGCAGCCCAGAGUCUGAAUCAGCUUGUGUGUUAGUGGAAGCGUCUGGAAAGUCGCACGGUACAGGGUGACAGUCCCGUACACGAAAGCACACAGGUUGUGAACUCGAAGAGUAGGGCGGGACACGUGGUAUCCUGUCUGAAUAUGGGGGGACCAUCCUCCAAGGCUAAAUACUCCUGACUGACCGAUAGUGAACCAGUACCGUGAGGGAAAGGCGAAAAGAACCCCGGCGAGGGGAGUGAAAAAGAACCUGAAACCGUGUACGUACAAGCAGUGGGAGCCUCUUUUAUGGGGUGACUGCGUACCUUUUGUAUAAUGGGUCAGCGACUUAUAUUCUGUAGCAAGGUUAACCGUAUAGGGGAGCCGAAGGGAAACCGAGUCUUAACUGGGCGUUAAGUUGCAGGGUAUAGACCCGAAACCCGGUGAUCUAGCCAUGGGCAGGUUGAAGGUUGGGUAACACUAACUGGAGGACCGAACCGACUAAUGUUGAAAAAUUAGCGGAUGACUUGUGGCUGGGGGUGAAAGGCCAAUCAAACCGGGAGAUAGCUGGUUCUCCCCGAAAGCUAUUUAGGUAGCGCCUCGUGAACUCAUCUUCGGGGGUAGAGCACUGUUUCGGCUAGGGGGCCAUCCCGGCUUACCAACCCGAUGCAAACUACGAAUACCGAAGAAUGUUAUCACGGGAGACACACGGCGGGUGCUAACGUCCGUCGUGAAGAGGGAAACAACCCAGACCGCCAGCUAAGGUCCCAAAGUCAUGGUUAAGUGGGAAACGAUGUGGGAAGGCACAGACAGCCAGGAUGUUGGCUUAGAAGCAGCCAUCAUUUAAAGAAAGCGUAAUAGCUCACUGGUCGAGUCGGCCUGCGCGGAAGAUGUAACGGGGCUAAACCAUGCACCGAAGCUGCGGCAGCGACGCUUAUGCGUUGUUGGGUAGGGGAGCGUUCUGUAAGCCGUUGAAGGUGUCCUGUGAGGGGUGCUGGAGGUAUCAGAAGUGCGAAUGCUGACAUAAGUAACGAUAAAGCGGGUGAAAAGCCCGCUCGCCGGAAGACCAAGGGUUCCUGUCCAACGUUAAUCGGGGCAGGGUGAGUCGACCCCUAAGGCGAGGCCGAAAGGCGUAGUCGAUGGGAAACAGGUUAAUAUUCCUGUACUUGGUGUUACUGCGAAGGGGGGACGGAGAAGGCUAUGUUAGCCGGGCGACGGUUGUCCCGGUUUAAGCAUGUAGGCGGAGGUUCCAGGUAAAUCCGGUUCCUUGUUAACGCUGAGGUGUGAUGACGAGGCACUACGGUGCUGAAGUAACAAAUGCCCUGCUUCCAGGAAAAGCCUCUAAGCAUCAGGUAACAUCAAAUCGUACCCCAAACCGACACAGGUGGUCAGGUAGAGAAUACCAAGGCGCUUGAGAGAACUCGGGUGAAGGAACUAGGCAAAAUGGUGCCGUAACUUCGGGAGAAGGCACGCUGAUAUGUAGGUGAAGCCCCUGCGGGUGGAGCUGAAAUCAGUCGAAGAUACCAGCUGGCUGCAACUGUUUAUUAAAAACACAGCACUGUGCAAACACGAAAGUGGACGUAUACGGUGUGACGCCUGCCCGGUGCCGGAAGGUUAAUUGAUGGGGUUAGCGGCAACGCGAAGCUCUUGAUCGAAGCCCCGGUAAACGGCGGCCGUAACUAUAACGGUCCUAAGGUAGCGAAAUUCCUUGUCGGGUAAGUUCCGACCUGCACGAAUGGCGUAAUGAUGGCCAGGCUGUCUCCACCCGAGACUCAGUGAAAUUGAACUCGCUGUGAAGAUGCAGUGUACCCGCGGCAAGACGGAAAGACCCCGUGAACCUUUACUAUAGCUUGACACUGAACACUGGUCCUUGAUGUGUAGGAUAGGUGGGAGGCUUUGAAGCGUGGACGCCAGUCUGCGUGGAGCCAACCUUGAAAUACCACCCUUUAAUGGCUGGUGUUCUAACGUAGACCCGUAAUCCGGGUUGCGGACAGUGUCUGGUGGGUAGUUUGACUGGGGCGGUCUCCUCCCAAAGAGUAACGGAGGAGCACGAAGGUUAGCUAAUCCUGGUCGGACAUCAGGAGGUUAGUGCAAUGGCAUAAGCUAGCUUGACUGCGAGAGUGACGGCUCGAGCAGGUGCGAAAGCAGGUCAUAGUGAUCCGGUGGUUCUGAAUGGAAGGGCCAUCGCUCAACGGAUAAAAGGUACUCCGGGGAUAACAGGCUGAUACCGCCCAAGAGUUCAUAUCGACGGCGGUGUUUGGCACCUCGAUGUCGGCUCAUCACAUCCUGGGGCUGAAGUAGGUCCCAAGGGUAUGGCUGUUCGCCAUUUAAAGUGGUACGCGAGCUGGGUUUAGAACGUCGUGAGACAGUUCGGUCCCUAUCUGCCGUGGGCGCUGGAGAAUUGAGGGGGGCUGCUCCUAGUACGAGAGGACCGGAGUGGACGCAUCACUGGUGUUCGGGUUGUCAUGCCAAUGGCACUGCCCGGUAGCUAAAUGCGGAAGAGAUAAGUGCUGAAAGCAUCUAAGCACGAAACUUGCCCCGAGAUGAGUUCUCCCUGAGACUUUAAGUCUCCUGAAGGAACGUUGAAGACUACGACGUUGAUAGGUCGGGUGUGUAAGCGCAGCGAUGCGUUGAGCUAACCGAUACUAAUGAACCGUGAGGCUUAACCUUACAACGCCGAAGGUGUUU